AUUUAAUCAUGUUUAGUAAAUGCAAGUAUUUCCUUGUUUUCUAGCUUGCAUGGGAGUUUGGUAUACCAUUUUUCGAGACAAGUGCCAAGGAAAAUAUAAAUAUUGACAAGGCAUUUUUAAUGCUGUCCGACAGUAUAUAUUCAAAGGUAGGUGAAUCAUUUUAAGUAUAUCAUACAGUAAAGAGAAUAUAGCAAUAUUUGUACUGUUCAUUUAAUAGGGGGUGAAAAAAAAUAGAAUAACACUGUUUAAAUUCAUGGAUGUGUGUCGCAUUGUGAUUUUGGGUGAACCCCAAACGGCUGCAAACAUAUGUUCUCAAAGCCAAAGGGUUGCAUUUGCUAGAAGAGGGAAUUUAAAUUAUGGCACAGAACACAGACUUAAUUUACCCAACCUCACCUAACUCUGUAAAUCUAUGUUUUUCUAAGCCUGUUACUUACAUCCCAGUGACAUUACAUUUAACAUUCCUUUCCAAAGCCUACUCCUUCCUGUCUGUGAGGCUGACAGUGCCUGUAAAAAUACUCGCAACCUUUAUCCUCUAUAUGGGGUUGAUUCAUUCUCCUUUUCAGCUACUAUCUGCUAUUAUUAGAGAUAUUGUAGCUACUGGAACUUUUGUUGCUGAAUAGUGCAGUUAAGAAUUGUGACAGGGCCAGGUAUGUCUUGAUUGGAAGAUCGAAUUGGAUUAGAAUAUGCAACAACAACAGAAGCAGGUCUAGAGACAGUUGUGAAAGGAAGAAACCGCACUACACUAAGAACUAGAACCAGGAGAUGAUUGCAACUGUGGAAUAGAUACAGGUCUUAAAAUCACACUGAGGACCCCUAAAGCAUUUUAUCUUACUAAAGUGCUUUAUGUGUGAAAAGUGUGGCCUCUUUUAUUUAUUUUACAAAAAGUGCAGAUUUCAGUAGAAAUUAGCACUUUUAUAAAUUAACCUAGUUACACCCCCUGGCUGUCAAAGAGACAACCAGUCCUGUUAAUUCCUGAUUGUUCGGCUAAACUCAAAAGGCAUUUGCAGAAUUGGGAAGUUGGUCAUUUGACAGCCACAGAAAGCCUAGGCUGGGUUAGAAGUGGAUGGCUUGUAAAUAAUUCAGAUAUGAGAUUUGCAGUAUAUUCGUUGGGUGUAUAGCUACUAAAUUAUGAUUUUUAUUAAUUUUGACUUGCGGUUUUGUAGAUGCUCUGACCAAGUAGUUUAAGUUUAGCCAUCACUAUUUGGCCCUUGUUAAAGUCACUAAGAUCUUUAAACUAGCCCAUUUUCCUGCUUGCAACGCAUGAAAUUCAAGAAUUGACUGUUCACUUGCUGACAGGUGUUAUUGUAUGAUAUAAUCAAUGUUUUUCACUUCACCUGUCAGUGGUUUUACUGUUGUGACUGAUCAGUGUAUAUGUCUUCUCUAAACAAGUUGAUGGACAUGGCAAACAACUUUUCAACUGGCCCGAACACUACAGCCAGUGAGAAACGCUUUUUAAAAAGCACAAGGGCAGAAUGGUGCAAAUUAAACUGGAAAACUUUGACAUACUUCCCAACAGUCUCUCUUUAGAUGGGACUGUUCCUAUUUUGGGCCCAUGUACCUCUUUUUAUAUCUUCUAUACAUGUCCCUCUUUUCUAAGAGUCUAUCUAUAUGGUGUCUGGGUGUAUAACAGAGCUCCAAAGCAAUAAUACUCAGCGUAAUGUAAAUUGCAAUAAGUCUCUUUAGAACUUGAGCUGUGCAAAUACAUUAUUAUUCUGAAUUAUAUUUUAGUUGCAAAAAUAUUUGUUAGUAAGUCACCAAAAAUGUAUCUCAACAGCCCUGCUCCUGGGUACAUCCCAACUUACACCCCUAAACUUACAGUAUUCGUCUUUGUGCAUUUGGAAUGUUGGGAGGUAUGUUUUUAUGUGAUAUACUCCUAUUCGUAUCAGUAGCUAGGCAUUUAAAAGGCACUGCUGUCUUUGUUCACGCAUAUCAUAUGGGUACCUGGCAGGGCAUGUUAAGAUGUUGUCCUAUUGCUUGCAGGAAUAUUAUGGUCAACUAUUAUAAUUAUUUUAAUACAUGAAAGUAUACUUUGCAGGCCAAAUAACCCCACUCCCUCCCAAAAAAAUAUUAAGUACAAAUUUAUACACUUAAUCCUUUUAUCAUAGAUUAAGGCACUCCAGAUAUUGUUGACUACAUCUCUCCUGAUAGUUUGCCUGCAUUAUUGUCGUAAGAGCAUUAUAGGAGAUGUAGUCCAUAACAUCUGAAGUGCUAAAGGAUGCCUUAGCCUUUUGUAAACAUGGGGUUGACACACUUCAUUACUUAAUAAGUCACUGCAUGGAGAGUAAAUUACAUUUAAAUCUGCUUUAGUAAUAAUAAUAAUAAUAAUGUUUGGUGACUUGGAUGGGUCCAGCUUUCACCUGUCACAUCUUGCCAUUGUCUAUGGCAUCUCAUUCCAAAUUAAUUAGAAGGCUAAUAGAGGAUCCAUUCAUCACUCAGGAUCUUCCUCUGAACCCUGUUUUGCUUUUUUGCGUAUACAAAGAUUACUUUGAAACUAUCUGCUUCAUCUGGGGACUGAGAACUGUAAGUGGCCAUGUGAGGAAGGGAUUUUUGCAAGUAUAUUUUCCUUACCUUGGUCAUGCAAGCAUAUGUGCUAUGAAAAACGAAAAGACCCCAUAAGUGACAAUGCUACAUUAGCAACAGUUGAAGAACAAAAUUGAGUAUUUCAGAGGUAUCAUUUAUUUUUAAACAUAGUUUUCCACAUGUCAUUAUAAACAUGUAUAUAAUAUAUAUUAUAUAUAUUAUGGCCAAAGUGCAUAUCUGCAUAUACCCAUGCUUACUUUUCCUGCAUUUUCUCCUCUCCAGCAGUCAAACUAAGUCUCUACUUGAGUCUUCAAUUUGUAGACAUUGGACAUUGACAAAGUAAAGGAUGGCCCUAUUCAUUAACACAAAACCAGGUGUUAUAAGGCACACAGAGGGGUCAAAUGCAGGAAUCUUGAGAUUUAAGUUGGUUGGAACAGUACCUGGCGCUAUAUGAGAAAUAUAUUUAUUUGAAACGUUAAACAGGCAAAAUGCACAAUCCACAUCAUACACAACACACUUGCAGUUUGGGAGUAUGCAUUCCCAAAAAUAUUUAUUCCCAAAUAAAUAUUUACAGGUUACGUGAAAAUACUUGUCCUUAAUAAAAGUACUUAAUGACAAGGAAUUUGUUCAAACAGACCAUUCUCUUUCUUUAUCCUACCUAAAUGAUUUGUGUUUAAUAUAAAUGUUGUUUACAUGUUUUAAAUGGUAGAGUGCUCAAGAGUAGUUCAAAGGUGUUUUUCUGUAAGAGGUUGAAAUAUGCUACACUCUUUAUGUCGAGUUCUCUGUCCUUUUACGACUGAUUCCUUUAUCUUUAUCUCCAGAAAUCGUCUUUAUUAGUUGAGCAUAAUGUGGUGAAUUUGAAAGAAUCAAAGAAAAAGGCUUCCUGCUUGACUUGUAGUUGAAGAAAAUUCAGCCCAUAUUCUGGAAAUGUGUAGUGGACAAAUAAUUUCAACAUCAACAAGAACUCUUGCUUCACAUACCAUAAACUUGGACAAAUGCCAAACAGAUGUCACAUUUCAGUCUGUUACAAUUCAUACUUUGUGCAACUUCGCUUUAUUGUGUAAUGUUUGCAAAAAACAAAACAAAAAGAAAACAAAGGUAAUCAAUAUUAAGGAAUCCCAAUGUAAGGAAAGAAAUAAAAAUCAAGCACAAUUUAUUAUGUCACAUUAACAGUCAAAUACAUGUGAAAAGUAAUUUUGGAUAUUCACUAAAGUGUGAAUUGUCUGAAAAGUGAAAGUUAAUUUGACUUUUUAGGCAAAAAUAGCUUAAAUUAAAACAUUCUAAGAUAUGUUAGCUGGUUCUAGUUUGGAUAUUUUUACCUAACAUUUGCCAGUUUUGCUUUGAAUUAAUUUUGAAUUCCUGACCAUUUACACUUUAGCAUAUAAUCCAGAUAGAGCUGUACAAUGGAUGGGUGGUAAAAAUAUUACAAAUAUAUCAAAAUAAUACAAAAAUACUCAUCAACAGUGUAGGACAGAAAACAACAAAUUUUAUUACAACAUACCGAGGAGAACUAGCCACUGACUUGCUAAACCUACGCUAAAAAAAAAAUCAAUAUAGGAAAAAACUCCACCGGUUCUUCAAAAACAAACCCACAAACAAAAAUAUGGAAAGCAAGUUAUAUUUUUGCCUGGAAAUAUUACACCAUCUGUCUACACCAUUUCUCCCACU
rnacentral:lncRNA from 1 species